UACGAAGGGGGCUAGCGUUGUUCGGAAUUACUGGGCGUAAAGCGCACGUAGGCGGACAUUUAAGUCAGGGGUGAAAUCCCGGGGCUCAACCCCGGAACUGCCUUUGAUACUGGGUGUCUUGAGUGUGGUAGAGGUGAGUGGAAUUGCGAGUGUAGAGGUGAAAUUCGUAGAUAUUCGCAGGAACACCAGUGGCGAAGGCGGCUCACUGGACCACAACUGACGCUGAGGUGCGAAAGCUAGGGGAGCGAAUGGG
rnacentral:rRNA from 1 species